rnacentral:rRNA from 1 species
UACGUAGGGGGCUAGCGUUGUCCGGAUUUAUUGGGCGUAAAGAGCGUGUAGGCGGCCAGGUAGGUCUGGUGUGAAAACUCGAGGCUUAACCUCGAGAUGUCAUCGGAAACCAUCUGGCUAGAGUCCGGAAGAGGAGAGUGGAAUUCCUGGUGUAGCGGUGAAAUGCGCAGAUAUCAGGAAGAACACCCGUGGCGAAGGCGGUUCUCUGGGACGGUACUGACGCUGAGACGCGAAAGCGUGGGGAGCAAACAGG